GUUUGAUCCUGGCUCAGGAUGAACGCUGGCGGCGUGCCUAAUACAUGCAAGUCGAGCGAAUGGAUUGAGAGCUUGCUCUCAAGAAGUUAGCGGCGGACGGGUGAGUAACACGUGGGUAACCUGCCCAUAAGACUGGGAUAACUCCGGGAAACCGGGGCUAAUACCGGAUAACAUUUUGAACCGCAUGGUUCGAAAUUGAAAGGCGGCUUCGGCUGUCACUUAUGGAUGGACCCGCGUCGCAUUAGCUAGUUGGUGAGGUAACGGCUCACCAAGGCAACGAUGCGUAGCCGACCUGAGAGGGUGAUCGGCCACACUGGGACUGAGACACGGCCCAGACUCCUACGGGAGGCAGCAGUAGGGAAUCUUCCCCAAUGGACGAAAGUCUGACGGAGCAACGCCGCGUGAGUGAUGAAGGCUUUCGGGUCGUAAAACUCUGUUGUUAGGGAAGAACAAGUGCUAGUUGAAUAAGCUGGCACCUUGACGGUACCUAACCAGAAAGCCACGGCUAACUACGUGCCAGCAGCCGCGGUUAUCCGUAGGUGGCAA
rnacentral:rRNA from 1 species